rnacentral:lncRNA from 1 species
CGUGAUUGCCGCUCGUCUUGCCUUGCCCCCAAGGAAAUGAAACUAUGGGGGACCCACCAACCCUUCGACCUUGGGAAACCCCAUUGAUUAGGCGUCAUGCUUCACCAACACUGUUGCUAUUCCAAAGUCGCUAAUCGACAAAUAUCACCCCAUGAUUUGCACAUUUCUAAACAAACUAGCAAGGGACUUCUUUUCCCCUGAAAUUGUCGAUUCAAAAUGAAUUCUACACUUGCUAAGUUUUGCUUGAAAAGACAAAAGCCAAAAUAAGAUUCUUCUUCAAAAACCAAAAUAUGGACAAAAUUGAGUUCAACCUAGGAAACUAUAUGUAUAUUUAAUUGCCAUAUCUUUCAUCAAUCUUUCUUUUAUUCGACAUAAAUGUGAAUGUUUUUUAACUUGAUAAAAAUAGAAAAUCUAUCCAUGAAUUACUCAGCAUACUUGCCACAAAUUUCACACAAAACGAUAAGUUACAUCUUCUAGAUAUACUUUACUAUUUAAAUUGUAAUAAUUAAUCAUCAAGUUUAUAAGCUAAGCAUUGCGCCAAAAAUGAUGACAAAAUCAAUUUUCCUUGUGUCUUCUUGCAAACUUUCACAUCUACUUAAUACUAUCACUAUUACUAAUUAGCAUUAAGAUUACCCAAAAAAACUCUCACUUAAUCAUUAAACAAUCUUAACAAAGUUCAAUAAUGACAAUACUUGGGAGAGUAGAGCAUUAUAUUAAUUUCCCACUUUCCAACCAAUAAAUUACUACUAUUAAUUACAUAAAUUUAUUAGGGGUACCUUCUUGCUACUCAAUACUAUAUUUUAAUUAUUGUGUUUCCUCAACCUCAAGCCCAACAAAUUACAAAACCAAAUAUUUUACUAAUUGUCGUUUUAAACAUUAGAGCUUUAUUCUUUUAAUACGUAUUUACCUCUCUUUUUUCACCUUUAAGGCUUUUUAUCAAACGAGUGGCACGCAUAGCAUUGCCAAUUGGCAAAUCAAGAAACUUUUUUU